GAAAACCGAGGUGGUGUGGGAUGGGCCCGCGUCUGAUUAGCUGGUUGGCGGGGUAACGGCCCACCAAGGCGACGAUCAGUAGCCGGCCUGAGAGGGUGGACGGCCACAUUGGGACUGAGACACGGCCCAAACUCCUACGGGAGGCAGCAGUGGGGAAUAUUGCACAAUGGGGGAAACCCUGAUGCAGCGACGCCGCGUGAGCGAAGAAGUAUUUCGGUAUGUAAAGCUCUAUCAGCAGGGAAGAAAAUGACGGUACCUGACUAAGAAGCCCCGGCUAAAUACGUGCCAGCAGCCGCGGUAAUACGUAUGGGGCAAGCGUUAUCCGGAUUUACUGGGUGUAAAGGGAGCGCAGGCGGCUUGGCAAGUCUGAUGUGAAAGGCUGGGGCUCAACCCCAGGACUGCAUUGGAAACUGUUAGGCUGGAGUGUCGGAGAGGUAAGCGGAAUUCCUAGUGUAGCGGUGAAAUGCGUAGAUAUUAGGAGGAACACCAGUGGCGAAGGCGGCUUACUGGACGACAACUGACGCUGAGGCUCGAAAGCGUGGGGAGCAAACAGGAUUAGAUACCCUGGUAGUCCACGCCGUAAACGAUGAAACGAAGGUGUCGGUGGGCAAAGCCCAUCG
rnacentral:rRNA from 1 species